rnacentral:lncRNA from 1 species
AGAGAAUGGCUCAAGAAGUCUGAGCCGUUGCCUAAAGUGUUGUGUCAAGAAAAUGACUAACCGAUACUGCAUAUGUUGAAAGCAAGAGCCAAAAGAUGGUGGUCAAAAAUUGAAUUAGAUUAUGAUCAAGUAAAUGCUACAUGUUCCACAUAGCAAAUAGGUCCAAUUAUUAAAAAAAUAACAAAGCAUACAUAAUGUGGCGAAGAACCUGAAACAAUUACAAUUUUAAACUUCUAUACAUAAUUGGAGGUGCUUAAGUAAACCUUGGCUGAAGAUUUUGUGUCGAGGAAACCCUUCAAAUUGUUCCAGAUCAACUUGAACACACUGCCCACAUACACAAUAAAAAUAUGAUGCAAGGUCUGCAAUUUUAAAUUAAAAUUAUUACUGCACUACACCAUAAUACUUCUUUCAAACUAUCAUAAUUUUAAACAAACUAUUCAGUAUCUACAACUAAGUAAAAUAACCGCCGAUAAUAGUCGAUCUUUAUCUUCUACAUAUGAACAUAUAUGUGGUAUAUUUGUACCAGAAACAUAAGAAGAGGGACCUUACAAUGCUUGCCAGUGUUGGGGAUCAACACUGGUCACAUCCAUGCCAAGGUGGGCUUCAGGUCAGAGAGAGAUGCAACUGGCAACGUCCUCUACCUCUACUCCGGGGCGACCCUCCUUGUGCGUCCUCUUGCUUGAUGGUAUCCUUUGACUACAGAUCAUCCAAAUUCCUCCACCUCUGGGCAUCAUUUACUGCAGAGAAACGGAGUUAAGAGGGGGCUUAGUUUUAGACACCAAUCUAACUAUGGGAUAACAUCAUUAUGGAAGUAGGAAGGAGCCUUGGCGAAUAAUAGAUAUGUUUGAAAUAAAUAGACCAAACAUGCUAAUUACAAGAGGAAGAACAUGUUGAUCCAUCUACGACUUAUAAUGACCUAACGUCUAAGUUAUAACAUCAUUAUGGAAGUAGGCAGGCGCCUUGGUGAAUAAUAGAUAUGUUUAAAAUUAAAUAGACCAAACAUACUAAUUAGCAGCGGAAGAAUAUGUUGAUUCAUAUAUGAAUUCUAAUGGCCUUACAUGAUGCUCAGCGCCAUCGAGCGACCAUCAAUAAAAAUUACAGUUCUCCACAUUAGUAAUCUAACACCAAGAAAAUAAAUAAGCAGUCAUAAUCAUUUGCAACAUUCUUUUCUCUUCCAAUUUUGUAGAAAAGGAUAGAAGUUUUGUUCCAGAACCAUAAAUAGGAAAGAGAAAGAGAAAGAGAAAGAAAUACUAAAAUAUAGGGAACUUAACUAUUUGUCAAAUCAUGAGUUAUGUACAUAAAGAAGUAGGCACAAAAUUAACCUUGGAAUAGGAUUACUCUUCCUGUUUCUCGGCCCAACACCUUAAUAGUGUACUGUGUACCAUAAGAGCAUCAGUAAGUGACACAACUACUCUGCCUACUUCAAUGCCAUAUGUGUGUGCUGAAAGCAAAAAAAAGGAAAUAAAAAAUACUGCAUCUGAACCAUAUUGACUACUAAAAGGAUAGGCACAAGCUUUGCUAAAUUUACCACAAAUGUGAUAUAUUGUGCUAUAAUUAAAUGGGUGCAAUCUGACAAUUGCUAGCAUCACAGAUCAUCCAGGCUUCUAGUUACAUCUAUAAGUGGCCAAAAGGAAUGGCAAACUUUAUUUAGCUUGUAAUAUGCGAAUGCCAGGAAACAGUAGUUGAAUAUAUAUAAGCAAUCAGCCAAGAAAUGAGAUGCUAUAUGUGAAUAAUAUACAAGUACGGAGAUGCUAUAUCAAUGAAGGGCAUAUGGGCACAUCCAGGAAGAAAGAGAGUUCCUCAGUCAUAUAAAUCAGCAGGUAUGAGGCAUAAACAUGCAUCUUGUAUGCAUAUAAACAAAACAAUAUGUACACAGAGUUUUUUCUGGGCCAUCAGAAAUAGUGCAUUCUAAGCAUCAGAUGUUACCUAGCAGGAAAAAAUAAUCCGUUCGACAACAAACAAUGCCUAGAUUGCAUCACACCGAACCCAUGCAUAAAAAGGUUAACAGAAAGCAAGCCGAAGGCUUGUUACCUCAAAAUCAUCUCCUACAUAGCUUAAUAUCUACAACCCAUCUCCAAAUGAUUCCUACAAUAUUGCAAACCUUGCCAAUUGGGCCUCAUCCCCACAUUCUUAAAUAUCUAUAUACGUGAAUUAAGCUCAGUUGGUUUGAGCAAACAACUAUAAUAUGAUACAAUGCAUAGCAAGAUAGAACAAAAAAUGUCAAAAAGGCAUAAUAAACUUGCAAAGAGGCUACCAACAUAACAAUAGGGAUUCCUUUUUACCAAAGGAAAAAGCAGCAAGCUGCACCUUGCUCCAUGAAAAUUAGGGCUCAUAAUGGUCUAGGGACCUGAUUCGUACCUACGACAGGCUAUCAUCAACAGGAGCAGUGGGUACCUCGACGUUGGUCUCUCUAGAGCUGUUGCACACACACACUGACCUAUAUGUCAAGAUACAGAAAAAAUGGAUCAGACCAGAGAGAGAUGGAGGAAAUGGGGAAGUGGAGAGGGCACUCACCUCUACCUUUGCACGGCGGAUGAGUGGCGUCUCACCUCGGGCCAUCUUUUUCCUGAAGCGCACGAACUCGAGGACGAUGAUUCGGCGCUCCUCCAGUCGACGACGACGCCUCCAAGCAGAGCAGCAGCGCGAGUGGCAACCGGCAGACUUCACAUUUCUUAGUGUAUGGAACAGAGUGGCGCUGCAGCGAGGGAGCAAACCGAAGAUAUAUGGUGUGGGUAUGCAGUUGCUUAUAUCUAAUUAGGAAGACCGAAAGAUAGUGCCAUCCCCAUUUCCCUCAAAAGACAACAGUAAAACAAUAAAGUUGCAUUACUGAAAGCAUACGAAAUUCCAACAAUUUAUAAUUAAGACGAAAGAUAAUGUACUCUAAAGAUUUCUGGGCAGAAGACCGAAAGAUAGUGCCAUCCCCAUUUCCCUCAAAAGAGCAUGUGCUAAUAAUAUCUGAUAGUAUAGUAAGAAUGAUUUGUGUGCAAUGAAGAACAUAUCAACUGGUAAUAAUGGAAAAAGACAUGGGCACUUACAUGAAUACAGUAGAGAUGAGAGAUAGGUAAAUAUUGUCAUUUUCCGAACCUAUCACUUCCUCAUCUGAUAGUAAUGGUAAAAUCAUAUAAUUAUAUUUCUCUUCAUUAGUAAUCUAACACCAAGAAAAUAAAUAAGCAAUCAUAAUCAUUUGUCCAAACCAGCAUUGCUCUUAUAAUUUUGUAGAAAAGGGUGAAGUUCAGUUCAGGAACAGAAAUAAGAAAGAUAACAAGAUAUACUAAAAUAUAGGAAUUUAACUGUUUGUCAAAUCAUGAGUUAUGUGCUAAUAUCAAAUCUUGAGUUUCACACGAGUGAGACACAACAUGGCUAAGCAUUCAAAAGGAAAUAACAAAAUAUCAUUAGAUGAACAAAAAUUAAAGUAUCACUUGAUCUAUUUCUAGAGCAGUACAUAAUAUUAGCAAUGCUAGCUAGCUGCACAAAUCCGUGACCAACCUAAUCAUGUGUACGCAAGUGACAAUUAAUAGUAAGCCAAAAGAAAUGAAAAUUUGUUUCUUUACCUGCAACACAUAAUCGCUCCAACACAUUUCCAUUUCAGUAGUCUCCAAGCCAAACGCAACAUGAGCCGAGCAAAAGAAGGCAAAACAACACUAGAGCAGGACCAUGCAUCACAUAGCAACAAAUUACCUCAUAACCACGUAUAUUUAAGAGUGGCCCUCUCUGCAUAUCAUCCAAAGGUAAAUUAUUUAUAUCACACAUUAGUUAACUAUCCUUUUGGGAUCAUAACAAUGCUGCUUGCCUUAUUCUGUUUGAAGCAAAGCCACAUACACAAGUGUCUACAUUAACCAUUUAGGUUUUCCUUUACUGCUUUAAAGGUAAUAGUGGUUAUUAACUGCUGACAACCCAAAUAAUCUUAGCAACCAGGUGAGUUUGAAUCGAAGCCGAGAAGGGGAUAGUUGCUUACAUCAAGAUAGAAGCCCAAAUUGCUUGCGGGAGCACCAAACUAUC